GCACACAGCAAGGUAGUGAUCAACGCGACACGGAGAUUAGUGCUUGGUAACCAGACGACAGCCGUUUUUUCAAGAAUUAUUUUUUCCGGAUUUCGUUUUGGAGGAGCCUCAGUAACCAUCAAAAACUGAUUGAAGAGAGCUGUAACUUCAUAAAGGGACCACAGGACUGUACUGCGGGGUGACAUUUCCACGAAAUAGUAUAAUGGAAGCCAAGGCCAUGCUCGUGCUGCUCAUGUUGUGUUGUUGGUGUCUAGUCAGUCAACAAGUCCACGCAUCAAGACUAGACGGUCUCAGACAACAGUACAACCUUGACAGGGAGAUCGAUCCGGAAACGCAGCGGAAAAGGCGCCCACUGAGCUCGCUCAACAGGAGACCCGAGCAACACGACUACCAUUUCGGCGGCACCCUCUUCCGUAAAAGGAUGCUUGGUAAUGGCGAAUAUGUGGUCCAAGACCCGGGCUACUACGCAUUCGAAGACGAGUAAUGAUGA